CAGGGUAGUGCCAUUACACUGUUAUUACUGAGUGUUUUUCUAGCGACUUGGCUGCUGGGCUAUGGCUUUGCCCUCUAACCAGCGGUCUUGGUCUUGCACACAACGGUAAGCCAGUGGUAAUGUCAGUGCAAGAAGGAUAUUACCAUAGCACUGUCACGAGGGGAACGCAGUACCUUUUCAUCUAAACCUUUGCACGAGUAAUUAAAGAUCCGCUUGACGAGCCUAUAUGGAAGAGCGUGCCAGGUAUUUGACUUAAGGACUGUUAGUAACUGAAGACCUGACGGUGUUGAUAUGGAUACAC
rfam:Porcine epidemic diarrhea virus strain CV777, complete genome.